rnacentral:rRNA from 1 species
UCGGGAAUUUUGGGCAAUGGGCGAAAGCCUGACCCAGCAACGCCGCGUGAAGGAUGAAGUAUUUCGGUAUGUAAACUUCGAAAGAAUAGGAAGAAUAAAUGACGGUACUAUUUAUAAGGUCCGGCUAACUACGUGCCAGCAGCCGCGGUAAUACGUAGGGACCAAGCGUUGUUCGGAUUUACUGGGCGUAAAGGGCGCGUAGGCGGCAAUUCAAGUCAUCUGUGAAAUCUCCGGGCUUAACUCGGAACGGUCAGAUGAUACUGCUUUGCUAGAGUGCAGAAGGGGCAAUCGGAAUUCUUGGUGUAGCGGUGAAAUGCGUAGAUAUCAAGAGGAACACCUGAGGUGAAGACGGGUUGCUGGGCUGACACUGACGCUGAGGCGCGAAAGCCAGGGGAGCAAACGGGGAUUAGAUACCCUCGUAGUCCCUGAGCGGGCUGGCAAGGCGCAU